rnacentral:rRNA from 1 species
AUUGAACGCUGGCGGCAGGCCUAACACAUGCAAGUCGAACGAGUGGCGGACGGGUGAGUAAUGUCUGGGAAACUGCCUGAGGGAGGGGGAUAACUACUGGAAAAGGUAGCUAAUACCGCAUACCAUCGGAUGUGCCCAGAUGGGAUUAGCUAGGAGGUGGGGUAAAGGCUCACCUAGGAGACGAUCCCUAGCUGGUCUGAGAGGAGGACCAUCCACACUGGAACUGUGACACGGUCCAGACGCCUACGUGAGGCAGCAGUGGGGAAUAUUGCACAAUGGGCGCAAUCCGGAUGCAGACAUGCCGCGUGUAUGAAGAAGGCCUUCGGGUUGUAAAGUACUUUCAGCGGUGAGGCGUUACCCGCAGAAGAAGCACCGGCUAACUCCGUGCCAGCAGCCGCGGUAAUUC